rnacentral:rRNA from 1 species
AGAGUUUGAUCCUGGCUCAGGAUGAACGCUAGCGGCAGGCUUACACAUGCAAGUCGAGGGGCAGCGCGGGUGGCAAACACCUGGCGGCGACCGGCGCACGGGUGAGUAGCGCGUAUGCAACCUGCCCUUCACGGGGGGAUAGCCCGCCGAAAGGCGGAUUAAUACCCCAUGGCCCCGCGCCCCGGCAUCGGGGGGCGGGUAAAGGAGCGAUCCGGUGAAGGAUGGGCAUGCGUGCCAUUAGCUGGUUGGCGGGGUAACGGCCCACCAAGGCGACGAUGGCUCGGGGGUCUGAGAGGAUGGUCCCCCACACUGGUACUGAGACACGGACCAGACUCCUACGGGAGGCAGCAGUGAGGAAUAUUGGUCAAUGGGCGGAAGCCUGAACCAGCCAUGCCGCGUGCAGGAAGACGGCCCUACGGGUUGUAAACUGCUUUUCCGGGGGAAGAAUAAGGGCGCUGCGGCGCCCGAUGCCGGUACCCCGGGAAUAAGGAUCGGCUAACUCCGUGCCAGCAGCCGCGGUAAUACGGAGGAUCCGAGCGUUAUCCGGAUUUACUGGGUUUAAAGGGUGCGUAGGCGGGCGUCUAAGUCAGCGGUGAAAGUCUGCGGCUCAACCGUAGGAUUGCCGUUGAUACUGGGCGCCUUGGAUUCGGUCGAGGCGGGCGGAAUGCGUGGUGUAGCGGUGAAAUGCUUAGAUAUCACGCAGAACGCCGAUUGCGAAGGCAGCUCGCCGGGCCGGCAUCGACGCUGAGGCACGAAAGCGUGGGGAUCGAACAGGAUUAGAUACCCUGGUAGUCCACGCCGUAAACGAUGAUGGCUGGAUGUUGGCGAUACACCGUCAGCGUCUGAGGGAAACCAUUAAGCCAUCCACCUGGGGAGUACGGCCGCAAGGCUGAAACUCAAAGGAAUUGACGG